ensembl:snoRNA small nucleolar RNA SNORA17
ACUGCCCCUUGAGGCGUUGCAGCCCAACUGUUAGUGUUGCAGCUGUGUCAUAAGGUGGCAGAGAGAGACUGGUGGUAGUUUACACUGAGACUCUAAAACACAUUGGAACUCAGAGUUAUUCCCACCGACAGU